GUUUUUGGAGUUUGAGUGUUUGGUGUGGAGGGCUCUGUCCUAACUAACUUUCUAGAUUAUUUUCUUGCUCUUUUCUUUACAUUUUAUUUUCUAUGGUGUACGGUUAAUGCAAUAUUUGUUUUAGCGGUAUCCACAGUUGUUUUUCAAAGUUAGGGUGGAAGAGGACAGAGUAAGUUUCCUGGGGUUUGGAAGGUGUGGUGAGCGCGAUGGCUUCUCAGCCUAGCGCGGAGGAGACGCUGUCGAUACGGCAUGGAUUCAGGUGUGUUCCUGAGAAUGUAGUUAAGGUGGAGGAGGUUCUGCUCGCAGUCGGUGAACAGCGGAUCCUCAAUCGAGGGAACUCCCGCUUCAUACGUGAACUGAAGACCCGCUGGGGGACCUUUUACAACCAGGCACAGUUUAAUGGAGUGUUCAAAAAGGUCAUGAAGGCACCGCUGCUGGACAACGUGAAGCACUCAAUCGCCAUCAUGAAGGCUUUACCAGAUAUGUUCCCAUCACCUGUGGCUCCCCCCGAAGAAGUUAGGACAUGCAAGUGAGGCUAUGCGUCACAUCCUUGAGUCUGCAGAAGACCCCAACACCUUUCUUCAGGAGAGACCACUCUUCAGCCCUGUCGUGAUUGUCUGUGAAACCAACUGCGUUCUGGCCAUUGGAACCAUACCUGUGGUGACCUUCCCAAAAGAGGACAUCUAUGCCAGCGUGACAUAUCUCAUGGCAUGUUAUUACGCCUUUCACCUCACAUAUCCCAAGUGCAUUGCGACACUCCUCUCUGUGCUGCAGAUAGAAGUCCUCUCAGACGCCAUCCACGACCGGGACAUGACUUCUUCAUAGAAAAAGGCUAUGGCCGAGUGGAAAAAGUUCAUUACUGACUAGGUUUGCACGAUACAAUUUUUUAAUUUCCGGUCCCGAUAACAGAACUGGUUGUAUUGGCCGAUCCGAGAACAGAUCCAAUAACCUUUAAUAAAUAGGCAGGGCGUUUGUUGUUUAUUAUAAGAAGGUUUAAAGCACUGUUACGUUUGUUAUCUUGCCAUAGGUCUUACAUUUUCAUUUUUACCUUGACCACCAAUGGCCUUUGUUGUUGUUGUUUUUGAAUCCUUUGUUCUGCCCAUAUCAGCCGCUGGAUAUACUGAGUCCUCAAUAAAGAAGUGAAAAGAAAUUAGAUUCAUUCUUUCUUU
rnacentral:lncRNA from 1 species